GACGAACGCUGGCGGCGUGCCUAAUACAUGCAAGUCGAACGCAGUGGGGACGGGUGAGUAACACGUGGGUAACCUCCCAUCAGAGGGGAUAAAACUUGGAAACAGGUGCUAAACCGAUACUGAUGGAUGGACCCGCGGUGCAUUAGCUAGUUGGUGAGGUAACGGCUCACCAAGGCCACGAUCGCUAGCUGGUCUGAGAGGAUGAUGAGGCCGACUGGGACUGAGACACGGCCCAGACUCCUACGGGAGGCAGCAGGGGGGAAUAUUGCACAAUGGGCGCAAGCCGGAUGCAGCCAUGCCGAGUGUAUGAAGAAGGCCUUAGGGGUGUAAAGUACUUUCAGCGGGGAGGCGUUACCCGCAGAAGAAGCACCGGCUAACUCCGUGCCAGCAGCCGCGGUAAUAC
rnacentral:rRNA from 1 species